rnacentral:rRNA from 1 species
UACGUAGGGGGCAAGCGUUGUCCGGAAUCAUUGGCGUAAAGCGCGCGGUAGGCGGCCAGAUAAGUCGGUGUGAAAGUCACAAGGCUCCGAACCUGUGUAAUAGCCGCUGGAAACUGUCUGGCUUGAGUCCGGAAGGGGCGAGUGGAAUUCCGUGGUGUAGCGGUGAAAUGCGCAGAUAUCAGGAGGAACACCAAUGGCGAAGGCAGCGUCGCUGGAACGGUACUGACGCUGAGGCGCGAAAGCGUGGGGAGCGAACAGG